rnacentral:misc_RNA from 1 species
ACGUGUACACAAAGCCGGAUAGAGUUCGCGCGCGCAGUUUACGACGAGACCGGCAACGAUCAGACAUCAAAGCGGCUUCUGCUAUAUACACUGUUAUAAAAACUCUCACGGAACUUCAUUGAGCACUGGAAGCGAGCCAAUCAGAGAUCACAGUAGAAAGAGGGCGCGUUUACGCACGUCGUUGACGCGUGCGAAUGACGUCACAAUGUGACGUUGCGUGCGUGCACGCACGAUACGCCAAACGAUUACGGUGGAUCGUAACAGAAUAAAAUAGUGAUACAGACGUGACGUGUUUCAGAUAUAUCUAUCUUUUUCAUAAUCUUUUCGUAUGAUUUUUUUUGAAAGUUUUUAAAAUUUCUAAUUUAAU